UGAUCGCUCCCGUUUUUUUUUUAGGUGACCUAAAUAACGGGUAAUUGUUUUUAUGCACUCAUCUGUCUGGGUGAUAUUUCUGCAGAAAGCCACGUCUGUCCACCGUGUAGGAGUGGACGCAAAAAUCAGACGAUGCUGCUACUGAUGAUGCGAGCGCAGUUCUAAUGGAAGGAAUGAAUUCGCUUCAGAACGGCAGCGUCCUCCAUUGGAUCAUUUCRCAAAUCUCACCAGGAGAAAAUCAAUGACCGGACAACACAAGACAUCCCAURACAGGACGCGUCUAAAAAACUGACUGAACACAGCGGAGCCGUAGAUAGGGGCGACCUGAAUGAAACCGCGUCAAUAAGGACACUUCUCUGAGGCUUCUCUGGACCAAUAAGGUGGCAUGGCUGGCUGUCGUUCUGUGGCAACAAUGUGCAAG